GAUGAACGCUGGCGGCGUGCUUAACACAUGCAAGUCGAACGAAGCAUUUAAGACAGAUUACUUCGGUUUGAAGUCUUUUAUGACUGAGUGGCGGACGGGUGAGUAACGCGUGGGUAACCUGCCUCAUACAGGGGGAUAGCAGCUGGAAACCGCUGGUAAUAUCGCAUAAGAGCACAGUACCACAUGGUACAGUGUGAAAAAAUCCGGUGGUAUGAGAGGGACCCGCGUCGGAGUAGCUGGUUGGCGGGGUAACGGCCCACCAAGGCGACGAUCAGUAGUCGAGCUGAGAGGGUGGCCGGCCACAUUGGGACGGAGACACGGCGCAGACUCCUACGGGAGGCAGCAGUGGGGAAUAUUGCACAAUGGAGGAAACUCUGAUGCAGCGACGCCGCGUGAGUGAAGAAGUAGUGCGAGAUGUAAAGCUCUAUCAGCAGGGAAGAUAGUGACGGUACCUGACUAAGAAGCACCGGCUAAAUACGUG
rnacentral:rRNA from 1 species